AAGAUGUGCACCGUCUCUGUGUUGCUGGAUGCACAGAGGAACAGUCCGUCAGGGCUGAAGGAUAAAGAGCUUAUAUUGACGUACCUGCAGACAAACAUAAACACACACAUACACAAAACAAUCAUUUAUAGUGGAUCAUUCAUUUUAAGCAUUAGUAGGCAAUUAAGUGAAACCUCUGACCUCAUCAGUCUUGUCAGCUCUUGAGGAUCUCCGUCAAUAGGAUCAUGAUGUAGCUUAUUCAGUUAGGUUUAUAUCUUUAGCUCUGCUCAAGCAUCGGACAGUGUAUUUAUUUUAAUGAUUGCAGAUCUUAUGUGGUUGAAGUAUUAGAACACUGACCUCUUCAUACCCCGGCGGAACUCAAACAGACGCAGGCCCUCAGGAAUGGAGAACACUCUGAUGACGGUGCCCUGUGAAGACAGACACCAGUGACGUGCCAUCUUUACUUUAGUUUACAAGACCUACAGACGCUUCCUUGACAUGGGAUGAUAGCUGGUCAUAAAAAGGCUUCAAGGAUCUCAAGCUUUCUGAGAGGAUUACUAAACAUGAAAGCAGCAGGACAACGGGCUAAAAUUGGGAAUGCUCUGCAGAGCUAUCAAAACUGACAACUGAGCAAUAUAACAGCAAGUUGAGGAGAACAGGCGCUGGCAAGUUUGGUGGCGGAGGAGUUGAAGGUAAGAGCUGCCAGAGGACUGUCAUGAGCCGGGAUCAUGGUCACUGUGUUCUGAAAGGACAAAGAGAACGAUACAGGAGACAGAAUGAAAGACUUUUAUUCUACAUUGAUGUAAUCUUCACGUCACUAAGACUAGCUGUAUUUCCAUCUUGCUGCAGUAUGUUUAUUACCACCAAGAGGCAUCAAAUAAAAAAAAUAAAAAUUUCCACUGAAGCAGACCGUUUAUGUUUAUUAUUAUAAGUUUAUUUUAACUGUAAAAAUGUCACGUGCAGUACCUUUACUUGUUAGUAAAGGUAAGUUAUUUAUUAUUAGGACUUGAUAUAACAGAAAUAGACUCAUAUUUCAUAACAAGAAAGCUUUUUAUUAAAAGGUAGAGGGGCAGUUGAGCUGAAUAUUUUGUAAUAGUGGCUUUAAUAUGCUAUUAUAGAAAAGUACUGUUACCACCAAAAACUAUUUUUAAAAGUGUCUGACAGCCGACAGUCUACAGCAGACAACCUACAGCAGACAGCCUACAGCAGACAACCUACAGCAGACAACCUAUAGCAGACAA